GUGUUGCAAGGAAUGUCGUUUUAAGAUCCAAUAGAAUCGCCGCGCUGAGCGAUGUCAGGGCAAGGUCAUGUCAAUAAAGCGAUUCUAUUCGUUCCCAAAAACACAUCCCUCGCAACACAUCUCUGGUGGAAACACAGCCU